UCCGGAGUAGCUCAGCGGUAGAGCGGGUGGCUGUUAACCACUAGGUCGGGGGUUCAAAUCCCUCCUCCGGAG
rnacentral:tRNA from 1 species